rnacentral:rRNA from 1 species
AGCGAACGCUGGCGGCAGGCCUAACACGUGCAAGUCGAACGAACUCUUCGGAGUUAGUGGCGGACGGGUGAGUAACACGUGGGAACGUGCCUUUUGGUUCGGAAUAACUCAGGGAAACUUGUGCUAAUACCGAAUGUGCCCUUCGGGGGAAAGAUUUAUCGCCAUUAGAGCGGCCCGCGUCUGAUUAGCUAGUUGGUGAGGUAACGGCUCACCAAGGCGACGAUCAGUAGCUGGUCUGAGAGGAUGACCAGCCACACUGGGACUGAGACACGGCCCAGACUCUUACGGGAGGCAGCAGUGGGGAAUCUUGCGCAAUGGGCGAAAGCCUGACGCAGCCAUGCCGCGUGAAUGAUGAAGGUCUUAGGAUUAUAAAAUUCUUUCACCGGGGACGAUAAUGACGGUACCCGGAGAAGAAGCCCCGGCUAACUUCGUG